rnacentral:misc_RNA from 1 species
GUUGCAAUGAAACUGGCCGUUAGGUCUGAAGAUAUAUCCGUCAGCGAUGCAAUUCAUGAAAUUGUUGCAAGUGGCUAGUUUUGUAGAUGAGCUGAAGAUCAAUACUUGUAAUAGAAAGUGGAUUUAUUUUAAUUUUUUUUACCAAGUAAAUUUGGUCCGUUUACAACUGCGAGGUACUCUUCAAUGAGUCAGUCGGCUGGGUUAAUUCAAACACUAAAUUUGGUUUUAUCGUUUUCUCUUUUUUUUUUGGUUCGAAGGAAAGAGUUGAUAGUUCUAGCCCGUAUAUUUUGCAUUAUAUUGUCGAAGUAUUUACCUGAUGUACUUGGUUCGAGAUACAAAGUUGGCACCAU